AUUGAACGCUGGCGGCAUGCCUUACACAUGCAAGUCGAACGGUAACAGGUCUUCGGAUGCUGACGAGUGGCGAACGGGUGAGUAAUACAUCGGAACGUGCCCGAUCGUGGGGGAUAACGAGGCGAAAGCUUUGCUAAUACCGCAUACGAUCUACGGAUGAAAGCGGGGGAUCUUCGGACCUCGCGCGGACGGAGCGGCCGAUGGCAGAUUAGGUAGUUGGUGGGAUAAAAGCUUACCAAGCCGACGAUCUGUAGCUGGUCUGAGAGGAUGAUCAGCCACACUGGGACUGAGACACGGCCCAGACUCCUACGGGAGGCAGCAGUGGGGAAUUUUGGACAAUGGGCGAAAGCCUGAUCCAGCCAUGCCGCGUGCAGGAUGAAGGCCUUCGGGUUGUAAACUGCUUUUGUACGGAACGAAAAGCCUCUUUCUAAUAAAGAGGGGUC
rnacentral:rRNA from 1 species